GUGAGGGUUAUUUCACGUUUCUCCAUUCGGAUUUGCACUAUUUUCUGAGUUUGGCUGGGCGCCGCGUGCUAAGUUGCACAAGUCUCUCAUCUUCCCCAAGCCUCACUUUUCUCGUCUGUGAAAUGGGAUAAUCACACACCUGAGAGGAGGAAACAUCGCGGAGAUGACGUCACCUCGAAGCCACAUUACAGGUUGGCCAUUGCCGCUGUCCCCACCGCAGGAAGCAGACACUGAGAUCAAGUUGCUUGUGUGACAUCAAAGAGCAAUGAGUGACCUUGUUCUCUGGACCACAUUACUAGGAAAGCACCGAGGUGGGACCGGGAUAAUCAGAAAGGCUUCCCGGAGGAGGUGACUUUAAUUCGGGUUUCAAUGACUGAAUAGGAGUUCUGAAAUUUAAGGAGUAAAUAAUGGAACCAAAGAGAAGUCCAUAAACCAAAGCAUAAGGGGCUAGAAGAGCCCAGCAAGGACUUUCCCAGUCCAUCCGGAGCACCCAGGUGGGCAUCGUGCCGCUAUUUGACAGAAGAGGCCAG
rnacentral:lncRNA from 1 species